UUUCUAUAAUUUAUUGAAGAUAAAUAGUGUUUAUACUAAAUUAAAAGAUCCUUUAAAAAAAGAAGAACGUAGUGGGUUGGUAUAUAAAAUUACUUGUGAGUGUAACCGUUGUUAUAUAGGACAAACUAAACAAUUUCUUGUGUCGAGAGUCAAGCAACAUGUGAAUGAUUGUAGAAAUGUUAACGCCGCAAAAGAUAAUAAGACUGCUUUAGCAUCCCAUCAUUUCGACCAACAUCAUAAUUUUAAUUUUGAAAAUACAAGUAUAUUAGACAACGAAAGAAAUUGGUUUAAAAGAAAUAUUAGUGAAAUGUUUUUUAUCAAAGUAAAUAACACAGUGAAUAAAAGAACAGACACAAAUAAUUUGAGCAUCUUGUAUAACGAUAUUUUAAAAAAGUAUAAAUCUGAAAUAUAAUAUAAUUAAAUGUAUGGAAUUUUCCUGAAAAUAAGUAAUAAUUUUGAAAAUUAAUAAUUUUGAAUUGUAAGUGGUAAUAUUUGACAUUUUGAUAAUUAUUUGCAUGUAACAUCUGUGUUCAAUCAGACAUAACGAGGGGUUUUUUGACAGUUGUGAAAUCCAUGUGGAGUGACGUGUUUUUCGGCCGUUAACAAAAAAAAAUUAAAAUUAAAAAACUAAUUGGAGGAUGUAAUUUAAUAAUCAAAAAUAUGUAUUGAUGCGACUAUAUACAUGAAAAUACAAGAGGUUGGAGAACAAAAUGUAAAUUUAAAGAGCAAUAACUACAAAAUA